rnacentral:tRNA from 1 species
UGGCUCAGACAGUAAAGAACCUGCCUGAAAUGCAGGAAACCUAGGUUCAAUCCCUAG